rnacentral:tRNA from 1 species
UAUGUGUCUGGGCAGAUAAGUUUCCCUGACAAGAAUAAUGAGAUGUGAGGCACCCAUCUGGCUCAGUUGGUGGAGCAUGUGACUCUUGAUCUCAGGAUUAUAGGCUCCGUGCCCUAUUUUGGGUGUAGACAUUACUUAAAAUAAUAAUAAUAAUAAAUUCUUUAAAAGAAAAAAGAACAAUCAAGUAUUAGUCACACAAGGGCAUGGGGUGUAUGUUCUAUGCAAGAGGAUCUUCUAGUUCAAACACCUGGAUGCUGCAGAGGCCUAGGCUUGUUGGGGAAUGAUUUACAACCUAGAUUUUUAUACCUAGCAAAACUACCGGUAAAAAUGUGAAGAGGGAACGAAAGGCAAGACAGAUGCUGAAAUGCAAGGUUUCAAAAAAUUUACCUGCCGUGCAUCUCUUCCCAGGAAGCUAGUUGAGGACCUGCAUCACCAAAAUCAAGGAGUAAAUCAAGAGAGCAAACAACAUGUGAAUAACUGCAUGAAGCUCAGCUUGCUGCUCAGCAGAGUUUAGGAAGCCAUAUACUGAACCCUUUUCCACAGCCUGGGGAAGUUGAGUCUGGAAUGAGGCAAAGAAGAACCAAGGAGGGUAUCUUGCCAUCUGGCUGUGGAACCCACCUGUCCAUCAGCAUCCUGGCGCAGGGGCCACCGAGUGGAAGUACCACGCUUCUUACAGUCCUGCUCAGCUUUCCAUGAAGCAUCUUCUUUCUUGUGAGGAACAGAACAAAUUCCCCAAAUAGCAGACCACCCCCAACACAUUCCAUUUCAAAACCAAUAGGGUUAAAUCGUGUUCCCAAAUUGUUAUUGAAUAUUUUACUCCCUUUAAAGUGUCAUCAUAGACUGAUGGGGGUGAGGAGUAGGCAGGACUACGAUGGACAAAAUGCUGUCUGAGUUUACAAUCUAGUAGAAAGAAGAGUUGAAAAUCACUGAUGAGAAUUUUUGGCCAAGUUCAUAUGUUUGAUUAGUAUUUAUUGACUAUCUAGUGUGUGUCAGGCCUUGUUGUAGGCGGUUAUGGGACACAAUAGUGGCACAGCAUCCUGAAAAAAAUCUCCAUCCAUGUGAAUUUAGCAGCACUGGGGGUGGGGGACUGGCAGGGUGGUGAAUUUGUCACUGAAGAGCGUAAGAACUUGGAAGAAAAAUUAAGUGGGGAAGGUGCUAGGAGAAUGCUGGGGCUGGUCAUUUUUAAAACCUGAAGAGGUGGGACGCCUGGGUGGCUCAGCAGUUGAGUGUCUACCUUCCGCUCAGGGUGUGAUCCUGGAGUCCCAGGUUGGAGUCCCACAUCGGGCUCCCUGCAUGGAUCCUGCUUCUCCCUCUGCCUGUGUCUCUGCCUCUCUCUCUGUGUCUCUCAUGAAUAAAUAAAUAAAAUCUUAAAAAAAAAUUAAAACCUGAAGAAGAAGGCGGCCCUUUAUGUUUCUGUAAUCAGCUGGUCUGAAACUUAUUUUUCUCAUCUGCAUAGUAGGGCUAGUCAUAGAUACUCUUAAAGGUAUUAAAUGAGGCAAAAACCAUACGCAUGUAAAUAAUAAAUACAUAAUAAAUAAAUAACAUAAUAAAUUAUAAAAAAUAUAUGAAACACAUACCUAAUUAGGGCUCUGUGAGUGCUUGCUCUUUUCAGCACUACUUGCUUAUGAUAAGGUGACGGGGAGCUGAAGGGACAGUGAAAGGGAAGAGUUAUUAUCUGUGUCCCGCUCCCCUCUUCC